CUUAGAGGUAAACGAGUGGAGCCGAAGUUGUAUUGUGGGAUUCAGUUGAUUUGUAUAUCGUCUAAUAGUUGAAUAAGGUCUCAAAAGGAUUUGUUUUGUUAUUAGCUUAUGGUAUUCAGUCGAUGCACUUUCCAUUUUACUUGACUGCGACCAAUAGUGUUGUUUCUCUGUCGUUGUGAUGAAGUUGAUCAAUGGUUUAUUCCAUAGGUUUUAUAGCGCACAGCACGGUUAAACGGUGUAUUGGUGAAUACGAUUCAGUCAACGUUGAUGAUUGUAUGAUGGUGAUUGAUUGAUGGUUGGCUUAAUAAAGAUUUCCGUCGGUUAGUUAUUGUCAUCGGUUAUCGAUAGAUUGUUUCUAAAGUCUGCAGUGUAUAUGUAGGUUACCUACUCGUCCCGUCUUGAAACACGGACCAAGGAGUUUUAUAUUAUCGCGAGUCAAAGGGCCUUACGAAACCCCACGGCGCAAUUAAUGUGAAGGUUGACUAUUACUGUCGACUGAGAUGUGACCUGAUGCUAAAACAUACAGAGCAACAUCAACCCGUCUAAAUAUGUUCGCAUAUGGGCGGAGUUUGAGCGAUAAUGUAGAGACCCGAAAGAUGGUGAACUAUGCUUGUGCAGGUUGAAGUCAGAGGAAACUCUGAUGGAGGACCGCCGCGGUUCUGACGUGCAAAUCGAUCGUCGGACAUGAGUAUAGGGGCGAAAGACUAAUCGAACCAUCUAGUAGCUGGUUCCCUCCGAAGUUUCCCUCAGGAUAGCUGGCAUUUAUUGUGUGUAGUUUUACCCGGUAAAGCGAAUGAUUAGAAGUAUUGGGGACGAAAUGUCCUCAACUUAUUCUCAAACUUUAAAUGGGUUCGAAGUGCUUCUCGUUUAAUUAGAGAAGUACAUUGAAUACAAAUGCCUAGUGGGCCAUUUUUGGUAAGCAGAACUGGCGAUGUGGGAUGAACCAAACAUCUGGUUAAGGUGCCUAACAUCAUGCUCAUGAGAAACCACAAAAGGUGUUGGUUGAUAAAGACAGCAGGACGGUGGACAUGGAAGUCGUCAUCCGCUAAGGAGUGUGUAACAACUCACCUGCCGAAUCAACCAGCCCUGAAA
rnacentral:rRNA from 1 species